rnacentral:rRNA from 1 species
CAAUAGCGUAUAUUAAAGUUGUUGCGGUUAAAAAGCUCGUAGUUGGGUUUCUGUUGAGGAAGUCCGGUCCGCACUUUGUGCGUGAUCUGGUUCUGCCUCGGCAUCCUCGCGGGGAACAUGCUGCGCUUGAUUGCGUGGUGUGGUAUUCGCGACUUUUACUUUGAGGAAAUUAGAGUGUUCACGGCAGACAAUUGUCUUGAAUACGUUAGCAUGGAAUAAUAAUAUAGGACCUUGGUUCUAUUUUGUUGGUUUCUAGAACUAAGGUAAUGAUUAAUAGGGAUAAUUGGGGGCAUUUGUAUUAACACGUCAGAGGUGAAAUUCUUGGAUUGUGUUACGACAAACUACUGCGAAAGCAUUUGCCAAGGAUGUUUUCAUUGA